rnacentral:lncRNA from 1 species
AUGUCACUCGGCCAUUUCGAGGCAGCCCCCUCUCCGACAGAGCGCUGCUCUGGGACCCCAGACACCAUCUAUGCGCUUCAAAUUAACGGAAUCCUGGGACUUCACAGACAUAGUCCUUUAAAGGAAUCUUUUCGAGCCUUCUUCCUGGUACAAGAAGUCCAUUCCCAGUGUCCCUUGACAUACGAUCCUUCAUCAUCCUCUAUGUUAAUAGACCUUUUCCCUUUUCCCUUCAAGACCUAGCUUCAUGCUAUUGUGGGUGGUUUUUAUUAUUAGGAAGGACUUCCUCAUACCGGUUUGGAUUUUGAUUCCCCUGAUUUUAAUCCAUUGGUCCCAUUUCCCACCUCUGGAACCAAAGAGAACAGCAAGUGGAGUCUCCUUGGUUUAUGUGAAGACGUUGUGUUGGUUGGCGCUUUCCAAAGUGUGCCCCGUUGAACACUAGUUCCAAGGGACGCUACUAAGAGGCAUGUGACGAAAUGGUUGGACGGUCAAACGGGUAUGGAGAAUGCUGAGCUAAUUGAAGUUGCACAGAUUUCUUUACUGCUGGACUUUUGGGGCCUUUCCGAAGCUAACGCACCAAACCGUGCUCUGAGAAGGGGAUUUAGAAUGCUCUGAUUU